GACGAACGCUGACGGCGUGCUUAACACAUGCAAGUCGAAGGGAGUGGCGAACGGGUGAGUAACACGUGAGUAACCUGCCCUUUUCUUUGGGAUAAGCCUGGGAAACUGGGUCUCAUACUGGAUGGAUUGGGAUGGGCUAGCGGCUUCUCCGCUUGUUGGUGGGGUGAUGGCUUACCAAGGCUUUGACUGGUAGCCGGCCUGAGAGGAUGACCAGCCACACUGGAACUGAGACACGGUCCAGACUCCUACGUGAGGCAGCAUGUGGGAAUAUUGCACAAUGGGCGCAAGCCUGAUACAGCCAUGCCGCGUGUAUGAAGAAGGCCUUCGGGUUGUAAAGUACUUUCAGCGGGGAGGCGUUACCCGCAGAAGAAGCACCGGCUAACUCCGUGCCAGCAGCCGCGGUAAUUC
rnacentral:rRNA from 1 species